AUGGACAAGCCAAGAAAACAUCAUGCUAGUUAUCUUACGAUCAUGCAAAGCAAUAUGACAAUGAAUGCUCAAGUCAUGUAUAUGAUGAUGAUGGAAGUUGCAUGGCAAUAUAUCUCGGAUGGCUAUGAAAAUGCCAUGAUAGGUAGGUAUGGUGGCUGUUUUGCGGAAGAUAUAGGGAGGCUUAUGUGUGAUAGAGCGUAUCAUAUCACGGGGUUUGGAUGCACCGGCGAAGUUUGCACCAACCCUCGAGGUGAGAAAGGGCAAUGCACGGUAUCGAAGAGGCUAGCAAUGAUGGAAAGGUAA
rnacentral:rRNA from 1 species